rnacentral:rRNA from 1 species
GAGGGGAAUAUUGGACAAUGGGCGCAAGCCUGAUCCAGCCAUGCCGCGUGAGUGAUGAAGGCCUUAGGGUUGUAAAGCUCUUUCAGUGGGGACGAUAAUGACGGUACCCACAGAAGAAGCCCCGGCUAACUUCGUGCCAGCAGCCGCGGUAAUACGAAGGGGGCUAGCGUUGUUCGGAUUUACUGGGCGUAAAGCGAACGUAGGCGGAUCGUUAAGUCGGGGGUGAAAUCCUGGAGCUCAACUCCAGAGCUGCCUUCGAUACUGGCGAUCUUGAGUCCGGAAGAGGUGAGUGGAACUCCUAGUGUAGAGGUGGAAUUCGUAGAUAUUAGGAAGAACACCAGUGGCGAAGGCGGCUCACUGGUCCGGUACUGACGCUGAGGUGCGAAAGCGUGGGGAGCAAACAGGAUUAGAUACCCCGGUAGUCC